ACAGGUGUCGAACAGUAGGAGCAGCGUCAGCGCAGGGUCAUGCGGCACCAUUUGGAGUGUCAACACUAAAGAAAUGCUUUUAGAGGUUAGAUGCAGCCGAGUCGAAGCUUUCGCGUGAAACUGGCAGGGACGUGACGCAUAAACUGAUGAUGCCUAUGAAUGUGUCCAGACCUGGACUACUGCAAUAAAUGACAUAUCCGCAGAGCAUGUAAAAGGCCACUGGAAAUACAGCAGCCCCACUCUCCCGUGACUCGUGAGCCUUAGAUUGUAACUUUUCCAAAUGGAGCUGGAGAGAUAGUAGACUGGGUUUCAAAGGACUUUUCAGGAUGCAAAACCUUCGAAGAGUGGAGAUGAACCCCCUUCUGGCCAGAAUAAAGGGAAGAAGAAUUUAAAGUUAUAAACCAGGUUUACUUUACUCGUAGAUGGUCGGUCAUAUAUUUAAAUGCAACAGUAUUUUUUUAUUUUUAAAAACUGCUCAGGUUACACAUGAAUGCAUUUUGUUUUAAGAAAUCCAGCUGGCGACAGUCUCUUGACUCGGAGCCACAAAUCCUGCUCCUCCCCAGAGGCUGAGCCCCUUCUCAGGUCAGUCUGUCCCUCAGACAGAUAGAUGUGUGCAUGUGGAAACCUGUGGUUCAGAUUUUUUUUUACAUGUUAUACUUUAAUGUCUUCUUUUUCCUCUUAAAAGCAUGUUUUUCCAUAACAGUAGCUCGAGAUCUGUGUUAAUAUAUUAUUCCAUCGAUUGGCUGUGCUACCGUCUAUUUUCUCGUUCUCCUAAUAAUGGGACUGUAACGUUAUUGAAACCUCAUCAUCAAGACAUGGUAUAAACUGACUUCUCUCUCCAUUUGAGUUUUUCAUCAUUUUGAUGGGAAAU